rnacentral:rRNA from 1 species
GACGAACGCUGGCGGCGUGCUUAACACAUGCAAGUCGAACGGAAAGGCCCUGCUUUUGUGGGGUGCUCGAGUGGCGAACGGGUGAGUAACACGUGAGUAUCCUGCCCUUGACUUUGGGAUAACUUCAGGAAACUGGGGCUAAUCCCGGAUAGGAGCUGCUGCUGCAUGGUGGGGGUUGGAAAGUUUCGGCGGUUGGGGAUGGACUCGCGGCUUAUCAGCUUGUUGGUGGGGUAGUGGCUUACCAAGGCUUUGACGGGUAGCCGGCCUGGGAGGGUGACCGGCCACCUGGGGACUGAGAUACGGCCCAGACUCCUACGGGAGGCAGCAGUGGGGAAUAUUGCACAAUGGGCGGAAGCCUGAUGCAGCAGCGCCGCGUGCGGGAUGACGGCCUUCGGGGUGUAAACCGCUUUCGCCUGUGACGAAGCGUGAGUGACGGUAAUGGGUAAAGAAGCACCGGCUAACUACGUG